CUCAUCUGCGAAGCACUGAGGGAGAUUUAAAGAAUGUUCACCUGAGAGCGCUAAGAAUCCUUCCCGUGUGUGGGAACUGUGCUCAGGAUACCUGACUGCAGAGAGGACUCUAAGAAUUUGUGCAAAGAAUUUCCCUUCAGACCGUCUGCCUUAAUGCGCAAAGAUUGGGGGUGGAGUCUGCAGGGAUGAACACCUGAAAGGGCGUCUACUCCUCCAUCCAUGUACUUGUUUUUUUGUAUGUAUAGCCCACCUUUAGCUAUUACUUAUUUAUUGCAUUUAUAUCUUACCUUUUUCUCCAAGGAACACAAGGUGUACACAUGGUUCUUCCCCCUUCCUCAUGGAAUCCCUACAACAACCCUAUGAGGUAGGUUAGGCUGAGAGGCAAUGACUGGCCCAAGGUCACCCACUGAGCUUCAUGGUCAAGCGGAAGGUUCACCAUGUCCCGUUUCACUGCUUUGUCGCUGCUGCUGCCUGUGCCACCCGCACCCCACCGUCUCCGUCUCUGGUGGAGAAGUGGUGCCAGGCAAGAUCAAGCUUAAAUCUCAUGUGCUCUGCAGUUGUUAUUGUUUAGUCAUUUAGUCGUGUCCGACUCUUCGUGAGCCCAUGGACCAGAGCACGUCAGGCACUCCUGUCUUCCACUGCCUCCCGCAGCUUGGUCAAACUCAUGUUGGUAGCUUCGAGAACACUGUCCAACCAUCUCGUCCUCUGUCGUCCCCUUCUCCUUGUGCCCUCCAUCUUUCCCAACAUCAGGGUCUUUUCUAGGGAGUCUUCUCUUCUCAUGAGGCGGCCAAAGUAUUGGAGCCUCAGCUUCAGGAUCUGUCCUUCCAGUGAGCACUCAGGGCUGAUUUCCUUCAGAAUGGAUAAGUUUGAUCUUCUUGCAGUCCAUGGGACUCUCAAGAGUCUCCUCCAGCACCAUAAUUCAAAAGCAUCAAUUCUUCGGCGAUCAGCCUUCUUUAUGGUCCAGCUCUCACUUCCAUACAUCACUACUGAGAAAACCAUAGCUUUAACUAUAUGGACCUUUGUCGGCAAGGUGAUGUCUCUGCUUUUUAAGCAGAUCAUGGAUCACUGCCUUGUUGUGGCGAAAGGGCUUGAAUAACUCAGAGAAGCUAUGAGCUAUGCCAUGCAGGGCCACCCAAGACGGACAGGUCAUAGUGGAGAAUUUUGACCAAAUGUGAUCCACCUGGAGCAGGAACUGGCAAGCCACUCCAGUAUCCCUGCCAAGAAAACUCCAUGGACAAAGACAACAGGCAUAUAAAAGUGCUCUGCAGUAUCUUGCGCAAUUUCGGCAAGAUCUUGCUGGAAUCGGCACGGAUGCCAGCACCCCUUCCCCACCAGCGGAAAUUUGAACCCUGGUGUCCCAGCUCCUAGUCAGACACUCUCACCACUACACUUUAGUGGCUCUCUUUUCCGAGGGAGAAAAUGGAACGGCAGGUAACAGAAGUGUAGAAUACAGACUGGUCAAAGGAACAGCAGCAACCUCAGAAAGUGCUUCUCUGCUUCUUCUUCUGCAGCUUUCUUCAGCUGCUGGUGGAGUCUGGAAGGCGGAAGGCGAGGGAGGGCCCAGUGGCAGCUGGUCGAAUGGACUAAUAAGGGCAUAAUGCAUUUUGUGUGCCAGCCCAGCACUGGGAACUGAAAUUGAUAUGUAGAACAAUAAAGGGCUAUAACAACCUGUCAGGGACCUGUUUCCACAGCUCCACACUUAAUAACUGAAAUAAAACAAUAUUAUUAGGUACUUGGUUACAUUAAGCAUCUUGAUACAAUGCUUAUUUUUUCUUCACUGAUGUGGUGACUGGCUGGGUUGCCAUACCUUGGUCAGGUUAAAAAAGGCCAACCCAGGUGGUCAGGUAUGAGAUGAUCUACAUAACACCGGAUAGUCUUGAGCAAACUGAUUUUGGAAAAGCAGGAGGUAGGAGAAGGGUGGAUCUUGUUGUUAGUUAUUCCGCAGAUGCUCUUAUGUUCUCAUGAUUUUAUCUUGACAACAGCCCUGCAAGGUUGGCCAGUAUUACUAUUUCCCUAUCACAGUUAGGAAGUGAAAGCUUUAGUGCAGGCGUUGGGAACCUCUGGCCUUCCAGAUGUUACUGAUCUACAAUUUCCACCAUCCCUGGCCCAUUGGAUCAACAUCUGUAAGGCUAAGGGUUCUCUACACCCCGUGUAAGUACUAGUGGCUUGCCCAAAGCCUUUGUUCUCUAGAGGACUUUUUAGCUGCCUUCCUCCCUGGACCCCAUUUUUCAGACUUAAGGGCAUGGCAUGCAUUAUCAUUCACAGCCUUAGUUUACAUGUAGCUUAACAUAGGUCAAUUUAUUUUGAAAUCACUUUUUUAUGGCUCUAUUGAACUAUUUGCCACAUUAUUUAUACGUUAAUGCGAUGGAUCCCUCCGGAUAUCCCACCGUCUAAUAAAUAAUGUGACAAAUCAUUAAGCAAGGUGAUAAAAAUCAAGCCAUUUAAAAAUACAUCAACCUGUGUUGCCUUCAUGUAAAAUGAGCUCCAGGGGCCUAUCACAAAGAUGUACACAUUCAGAACUUGGCGAAACUUGGCUCAUUGAGUAAAAUAGACCAGAGAAGCGGAUGGCAUGAGCUAUGGGAAGGUUUUUUUUGGUUAAAGAAACACGAUCGCAUAAGGGCCGAAUCCCAUGGUUGACUCCCAAUGCCCUGAGGUUGGAGAACAUGGUUUCCUAGUGCUGGCAAAGGGUUUGUAGUGUGGUGGUGUUAUAUACUGUGGGGCAAGAAACACACAGGCAGAUCUCAUGUCAUCUAGCCCAUCUGGAGAUUCUUGCAGGCACUCUUAUGCAAUUAAUGAAGGUUCUUCCAUCUUUAUUUUUGUUGCUGCAGCUGCGGCAUUCUGCCCUUGCUCCCAAUAUUAAGAAAGCUGUUUGUCCAGAGAUGGAAGGGAAGGGGAAGCUGAUAUCUUCACCAGAGGGUGGGAAAGGUAAAGGUAAAGGACCCCUGGACAGUUAAGUCCAGUCAAAGGUGACUAUGGAGUUGUGCCGCUCAUCUUGCUUUCAGGCAGAGGGAGGCGCUGUUUGUCCACAGGCGGCUUUCCGGGUCAUGUGACCAGCAGGACUAAACCGCUUCUGGUGUGACGGGAACCAGAGCACAUGGAAAUGCUGUUUACCUUCCCGCCACAGUGGUACCUCUUUAUCUACUUGCACUGGUGUGCUUUCAAACUGCUAGGUUGGCAGGAGCUGGGACAGAGCAUCGGGAGCUCACCCCGUUGUGGGGAUUCAAAC